UACGAAGGGGGCUAGCGUUGUUCGGAUUUACUGGGCGUAAAGCGCACGUAGGCGGAUCGGUAAGUCGGGGGUGAAAUCCUGGAGCUCAACUCCAGAACUGCCUUCGAUACUGGCGAUCUCGAGUCCGGAAGAGGUGAGUGGAACUCCUAGUGUAGAGGUGGAAUUCGUAGAUAUUAGGAAGAACACCAGUGGCGAAGGCGACUCACUGGUCCGGUACUGACGCUGAGGUGCGAAAGCGUGGGGAGCAAACAGG
rnacentral:rRNA from 1 species